UUUUUCGUAUUUUAUCGCGGUUUAUUAAGUUUUUUACAUACCCGACGUUUCGGAUACUUUACAGCUACCAUGGUUACGGGAGGCCUGAGGGUCAGAC